CUCUUUCAAUAUCCUCUAAGUGUGAUUAAAGCGUAUUAUGAACACUUGUGAUUCUCUGUGGCGUGCAUAUCGUUGUGUAAAUUUUACUGAUUGGAAAGUAGAAAGUCGUUUUGACUAAUUUCUGCUGUAAUUAUAAUCUGAAGAAUACUUAGAUCAUGGAUAAAAACAAGUUGGCACGUGUAACCAAAGUCCUGGGCAGAACAGGCUCUCAAGGACAGUGUACUCAAGUACGUGUGGAGUUUUUGGAUGAAUCUAAUCGUUCUAUCAUUAGGAAUGUCAAGGGGCCUGUAAGAGAAGGAGAUAUUCUGACACUUCUUGAAUCUGAAAGAGAAGCCAGGAGAUUAAGAUGAAAAUUUCUUUAAAUAAAAAAAAAAAAUAAGUAAAAAAUUUGCAGCUGUACUUGAAGACUCUUAUUUGUAAUGAUUUAUUUGCAAAGAUAAUUAUUUCAUGAAAUAAACUUGCAGUUGCAAAUUU